CAUCAGGCCGUCAGUUUUGGUCUCGUAGGAAGCUGGAGGACUGGUCGUACGUGAACUGAGUGGAUCGGAGAAAUUGGCAGUUGUUCUUGGUGGAUGAGAGGGUCAUGAGCAUGAGUACUGUACCUACAAGGUCGUUCUAUAUGGUUUGUUCUCCCAAGGCUGAAGGUUCAAAGCAGUUCUCAGAAAUCAUGGUGAGGCAAAGACAUUGAAGAUGGAUUAGCCGAUGCAAGCAACUGCCAAUGGGAAAACUAAUUGCGAGCAUUGCAGGAUGUUCUACAAUCCCAAAGAACUGGUGGCUACUCGGAAGAAGUGGUAGAAAGAUCAAGCCGUUUCCUCAUUUGUUGUUAUAUGUGAACACAUGAAAUUUGUGUUCCUUUUAAUUUGUUUCCAUGAAGGAGCAGUACUUCCGGCUUUGUUUAAGUUAAUAUUGAAAAAUAUUGUAUUGGCAUUUGUUGGGCCAGGGAUUUGCUGAGGAUUUGAUGUCUGAAGUAUUUUCACUUGUAUAUAUUGAAUUUUUACUUGAA